AGCGAACGCUGGCGGCAGGCCUAACACAUGCAAGUCGAACGGAGUGGCGGACGGGUGAGUAACACGUGGGAACGUGCCCUUUGGUUCGGCACAACUCAGGGAAACUUGAGCUAAUACCGGACGCCAUUGGAGCGGCCCGCGUCUGAUUAGCUAGUUGGUGAGGUAAAGGCUCACCAAGGCGACGAACAGUAGCUGGUCUGAGAGGUUGAUCAGCCACAUUGGGACUGAGACACGGCCCAAACUCCUGCGGGAGGCAGCAGAGGGGAAUCUUGCGCAAUGGGGAGAAGGCUGACGCAGCCAUGCCGCGUGAAUGAUGAAGGUCGUAGGGUUGUAAAAUUCUUUCACCGGGGACGCGGUACCCGGAGAAGAAGCCCCGGCUAACUUCGUGCCAGCAGCCGCGGUAAUAC
rnacentral:rRNA from 1 species